rnacentral:lncRNA from 1 species
AUGCGGCUGCUCCAGCCCGGCCCCGGCGGCGAUCGCGGCGCUUUUGGGGAUUCCGAGGGGAAAUUCCUCAUCCCGGUCCCGCUGCCACCGCCGGGGGGGCGCGGGGGGGUCCCGCAGCGCGAGGUUUGUGCGGCCGUGGGGUUCGUGCUGCGGGAGCUGCUGGGCUGCGGCUGCGAGCCCGAGGGGGGGACAGGCGAUUCCCGAGGGGAAUUCGGGGAUUUGGGGACACCCGGGAGUGCGGGGGAGCCAUCACCGGGAGCCCAGUGUCACCUGGAGGGGGGGACAGGCGAUUCCCAGCGGGAAUUCGGGGAUUUGGGGACACCCGGGAGUGCGGGGCAGCCGUCACAGGGAGCCCAGUGUCACCUGGAGCGGGGGACAGGCGAUUCCCAGCGGGAAUUUGGGGAUUUGGGGACACCCGGGAGUGCGGGGCAGCCAUCGCCGGGAGCCCAGUGUCACCUGGAGCAGGGGACAGGCAAAUCCCGAGGGGAAUUGGGGGAUUUGGGGACACCCGGGAGUGCGGGGCAGCCAUCACCGGGAGCCCAGUGUCACCUGGAGCGGGGGACAGGCGAUUCCCAGCGGGAAUUGGGGGAUUUGGGGACAGCGGGGGAUGAACCGGAGAUGCUCCCGGCUCCCUCGGAGCCGCCACCGGGAGCCCGUUGUCACCCAGAGGGGGUGACAGGCGAUUCCCAGCGGGAAUUUGGGGACGCGGGGACACCGGGACCGGGCUCCAAGCGUCGCCUCCCCGAGGGGGUCCCUCCCGGGGCGGGGGUCCCGCCCGCAAAGCGGCCCCGGGGCCCCGCGGGCCCGUCCCGGUGGAGCUGCUGCGUGUGGUACCGGGUGUGGCGGGGCCGCCGCCGCCUCCGCCGCCGCCUCCGGCCCCGGGAGGGCUCCGGGGGGACUCCGGGCACCGAGGGGAACCGGGGAGAUCAAAGUCUUGAGGGUCCUGGAGGGGCUCAGAGUGCCGGAGGGGUUGGGGAUCCCGAGGGGGUUGGGAGUCCCGAGGGGGUUCGGGAUCCCGGGGAUGCUCAGGGUCCCGGGGGGGUUGGGGGUCUCGGGGGUCCCGGGAGCUGCCCCCUGGCCCUGGAGCGAGCCGUGACCGAGGCCAUUGUCCGAGGGGACACCGGGACUCCGCCCGGGCCCCCCCCGGAGCCGCUGCUCCGUUUCCAGCUCAGCGCCCGCCCGGGGGGGGUCGCGCCGUGA